CAGGCAGUGGUGCCCCCUGGCUCUGAGCCUCUGACGGGCUUCCCUGGUGGACAGCACGCCACACGUGUUGUCACAACGUGCUGCAGGGGGAAUUGAG